rnacentral:misc_RNA from 1 species
UUCCCGUGUGAGUUGGUGAG